GGGGCGACAAGAAUCCGCAGGAAGUUGCUCCCCCGCUCGUCGUCGUCGCCGCCGCCGCGCGCGGUCGGUUCUGAGUGCGUGUGAACUGAACCGAACUGAACGGCAGGGGGUUGGGAGUGGGCGGCCGCCGCGCGCCGGUUCCCGCUCACCCGCCAGUCAGUCAGUCCGUCCGUCCGUCCGACCAACCAACCAACCAACCAACCGCCGCCCACGCGCGUGGAAGCCGCUGGCGGGGUUUCAACCGCGAGCCAGACUGACAAGGUUGGUGUCGUGAGAGGGGGGGAAGCAGGAGGCCCGUCCCGUCCCUGUCGUCCGAGGGACCAUGUGUCAGGUGGAGGAAGACUACAAGGACGAGGCGCUGCAGAGGACGGCGGCCUUGAGUGUUGGACAAAAAUGUAUGAAGUGUAAAGAGGGCUGCGCUGUGGUAGUCAUUCGAGUUGGAGAUGCGUUUUGUAAAUCCUGCUUCAGAGACUACUUUGUACACAAAUUCCGUGCUAUGUUGGGAAAAACACGCCUCAUUUUUCCAGGAGAGAAGGUCUUAUUGGCAUUAUCAGGUGGCUCCACAUAGAGUUCAAUGUUGUGUCAGGUUCAAGAGGGUUUGAGUAGAGAAGCUUCAAAGAAAUUGCGUUUUUCUCCUGGGAUUGUCCAUAUAGAUGAGGGAGCUGUGUGUGGUCGAAGCGCAGAAGAAAGACAGGAAACAUUAAUGCAGCUGGAAGCCAUAUUCCAAGCUUCAGGAUUUCCCUAUCACAUAGUCUAUUUAGAAUAACUAUUAAAUGAAUCAAAUUUUAAAUUUGUUUCUGCAGUGAAACUUACAUGAUUAAGUGUUGGUAAUGAUGUGUCCUCCAGUCCAACAAGCCAUGGCCAGAAUUAUAAAGAGGCAGUGGAUGAUUUCCUACAAAAACAGCGAGAGGCCCUGAUUGAUGUUGAACAAAGACUUACAGUUGAGGAUGAAAGGAAUGUCACGCAUUCAGAACAGAUUGAAGCAAAAUUUGACCAGCUCAGUACCUCUACUGCUGCCAGUGGAAAGUGGCCAUUUACCUUGGAGCAAACCGAGGCUGUAAAGGAACUGUUUAGUUCAGUAAAGACAUUGACGGCCAAAGAGGAGUUGCUGCAGACAUUACGACAUCAUCUGAUCCUGCAUACAGCAAGGAACAAAGAAUACAGUAAGAUAAUGAUGGGAGACAGCUGUACGCGAUUGGCAGUAAAAACUCUGACUAAUAUUUCUUCUGGGACGUGGAGCCUCAUUGGCUGUUGACAGGGAUUUUUCAGAUAAUCGUUAUGGAGACAUCAUGAUUUUACGACCGAUGAGGGAAUACUCAUCUAAAAAAAUUGCUUUCUACAACAAACUCUUUGAGGUUCCUACUGUUUUCACUCCAGCAUUGGACCACAAGGCCAGUGAUAAAGCUAGUAUCCAUCGAUUGACAGAGAGUUUUGUCAAUAAAUUACAGACUGAUUUUCCAUCUACUGUAAGCACUGUGUACAGGACCAGUGAGAAGCUGAACACAGCUUGUUCGGACAUAAACAGUGGGGUUGAACAGACUGAUAAGUGUUUGCUUUGUCUCUGUAUUAUGGACACUAAAGUAGAGGAAGCCUCAGCAUUCCAGGCAACACUAAUAUCAGAGAAACUGUCAUGUAAGCAAUCCCCUGACCAAAUGCCUGUCAACAAGGUCUCUGAGCAAUCCUGCUGUGAUAAUCAAGCUGAAGAGAAAGGAAAGUGCUGCAGUACAAACUCAGGAGCUUGUCAUCCACCAGUAAGCAACACAACCACUGAUUUCCUCACGCUACUGUGCUAUAGCUGUAGACUGACUGUGAAAGAUAUGGUGUCACUGUCCCUUUUACCACAGUACGUUUUGUCUGAAGCAGAACGUAGAAAACGCAGAGCCCAGGUGAGAGAACAGAUCCAGGAGUUCCUAUUGCCUCCUGAGGACGAAAGCGAUGAAAACUACUGAACAUUGCAAAGAACAAGGAGCAACCUCGCAAUUUUUCAAGAUUAGACAAAAGUAUAUUUAAUUUGGGAAUAACCAGUAAAGUAUUCAUCGUGGAUUUCACAUAAAACAAAGCCAAGCAAUAUAUAAAAAAUUAUCAUGCAGCUUGAAUUAUUGCUGUUAGAUUGCUACACAUUUGCUAUGACUUCCCAGCAAGAAAGUCAAUGUCAAAUGGGCUGAAUUAUAAUCAAUGGCACCAAGAUGGAUCUCUCCCUUUAAGGCUACUUAAUAUGUAGUUUUGUAUUCUCAUUUAUUUUGCGCUGCUCCUGCAGGUUGGAUUUAACUUUAAAUGUUAAGUCUGUAAAUACUAACGUUGUUGAAAUAUUAAAUAAAUUUGAAAUGUACUCUCUCCCA